rnacentral:rRNA from 1 species
AACGAACGCUGGCGGCAUGCCUAACACAUGCAAGUCGAACGAGACCUUCGGGUCUAGUGGCGCACGGGUGCGUAACGCGUGGGAAUCUGCCCCUUGGUUCGGAAUAACUUCGGGAAACUGAAGCUAAUACCGGAUAAUGACGUAAGUCCAAAGAUUUAUCGCCAAGGGAUGAGCCCGCGUAGGAUUAGCUAGUUGGUGGGGUAAAGGCUCACCAAGGCGACGAUCCUUAGCUGGUCUGAGAGGAUGAUCAGCCACACUGGGACUGAGACACGGCCCAGACUCCUACGGGAGGCAGCAGUGGGGAAUAUUGGACAAUGGGCGAAAGCCUGAUCCAGCAAUGCCGCGUGAGUGAUGAAGGCCUUAGGGUUGUAAAGCUCUUUUGCCAGGGAAGAUGAUGACUGUACCUGGAGAAUAAGCCCCGGCU